rnacentral:rRNA from 1 species
AUGCAGCAGGGUUGGUUAUCUAAUUGGCUAGUCAAACAUGAGGUGGUGCAUAGAUCUUUGGGCUUUGAUCAUCGAGGAAUAGAGACUUUACAAAUAAAAGCAGGGGAUUGGGAUUCCAUUGCUGUCAUUUUAUAUGUAUAUGAUAAUCCAGAAGAAGUCUGCAUAAAAGUCUUUGCCCAAAAGGAUAAUCCUAGAAUUCCGUCUGUCUUCUGGAUUUGGAGAAGUGCCGAUUUUCAAGAACGCGAAUCUUAUGAUAUGGUGGGAAUCUCUUAUGAUAAUGAUCCGUGCCUUAAACGUAUCCUAAUGCCUGAAAGUUGGAUAGGCUGGCCCUUACGUAAGGAUUAUAUAACCCCCAAUUUUUAUGAAAUACAAGAUGCUCAUUGA